GUCCCAUGAUAAAUAUGGGUUAGAGUCCCAUGAUAAGUAUGGGUUAGAGUCCCAUGAUAAGUACGGGUUAGAGUCCCAUGAUAAGUACGGGUUAGAGUCCCAUGAUAAGUUUGGGUUAGAGUCCCACGUUAAGUUUGGGUUAGAGUCCCAUAUAAAGUUUGGGUUAGAGUCCCAUAUAAAGUUUGGGUUAGAGUCCCAUAUAAAGUUUGGGUUAGAGUCCCAUGUUAAGUUUGGGUUAGAGUCCCAUAUUAAGUUUGGGUUAGAGUCCCAUGUUAAGUUUGGGUUAGAGUCCCAUGUUAAGUUUGGGUUAGAGUCCCAUACUAAGUCUGGGUUAGAGUCCCACGUUAAGUUGUAUAAGAGAAACAUUUAUAUUUUCUGGGUUAGAGUCCCAUCUUGUCAGUAACUUGUAUAUAGUGGGUAUAGCAGUCCCACUGAGUGACCACAUUUAGUCACUGUAUUGAAUGCACAGUUUGGACACAGUAGAAUAAAUCUUAUUUUUGUUUAUUGCAGCGCUGCAUGUAUAGUUGUAUUGUUUAAAA